GCUUUCCUCUGUCUCAGUUGGAAGAGCAUUAUGCUAACAACACAAAGAUAGUGUGUUCAAAUCCCAGGGAAAGCA